GACGAACGCUGGCGGCGUGCUUAACACAUGCAAGUCGAACGGUAAGGCCCUUCGGGGUACACGAGUGGCGAACGGGUGAGUAACACGUGGGUGAUCUGCCCUGCACUUCGGGAUAAGCCUGGGAAACUGGGUCCAAUACCGGAUAGGACUCCGGACUGCAUGGUCUGGGGUGGAAAGCUUUUGCGGUGUGGGAUGGGCCCGCGGCCUAUCAGCUUGUUGGUGGGGUGAUGGCCUACCAAGGCGACGACGGGUAGCCGGCCUGAGAGGGUGACCGGCCACACUGGGACUGGGAUACGGCCCAGACUCCUACGGGAGGCAGCAGUGGGGAAUAUUGCGCAAUGGGCGCAAGCCUGAUGCAGCGACGCCGCGUGAGGGAUGACGGCCUUCGGGUUGUAAACCUCUUUCAGCACAGACGAAGCGCAAGUGACGGUAUGUGCAGAAGAAGGACCGGCCAACUACGUGCCAGCAGCAGCCGCCG
rnacentral:rRNA from 1 species